rnacentral:rRNA from 1 species
UACGAAGGGGGCUAGCGUUGCUCGGAAUCACUGGGCGUAAAGGGUGCGUAGGCGGGUCUUUAAGUCAGGGGGGAAAUCCGGGAGCUCAACUCCAGAACUGCCUUUGAUACUGAGGAUCUUGAGUUCGGGAGAGGUGAGUGGAACUGCGAGUGUAGAGGUGAAAUUCGUAGAUAUUGGGAAGAACACCGGUGGCGAAGGCGACAGUCUGGCUCUAUACUGACACUGAGGCGCGAAGGCGUGGGGAGCAAACAGG